UACGUAGGGGGCGAGCGUUACCCGGAUUUACUGGGCGUAAAGAGCGUGUAGGCGGCUGGCCAAGCGUGAUGUGAAAUCUUCGGGCUUAACCCGAAAACUGCAUUGCGAACUGGUCUGGCUAGAGUGUGUGAGAGGGUAGUGGAAUUCCCGGUGUAGCGGUGAAAUGCGUAGAUAUCAGGAGGAACACCGGCGGCGAAGGCGGCCCUCUGGAUCGUUGCUGACGCUGAUACGCGAAAGCGUGGGGAGCAAACAGG
rnacentral:rRNA from 1 species